rnacentral:rRNA from 1 species
GGCUUACCAUGCAGUCGAGCGGGCAUAGCAAUAUGUCAGCGGCAGACGGGUGAGUAACGCGUGGGAACGUACCUUUUGGUUCGGAACAACUGAGGGAAACUUCAGCUAAUACCGGAUAAGCCCUUACGGGGAAAGAUUUAUCGCCGAAAGAUCGGCCCGCGUCUGAUUAGCUAGUUGGUGAGGUAAUGGCUCACCAAGGCGACGAUCAGUAGCUGGUCUGAGAGGAUGAUCAGCCACAUUGGGACUGAGACACGGCCCAAACUCCUACGGGAGGCAGCAGUGGGGAAUAUUGGACAAUGGGCGCAAGCCUGAUCCAGCCAUGCCGCGUGAGUGAUGAAGGCCCUAGGGUUGUAAAGCUCUUUUGUGCGGGAAGAUAAUGACGGUACCGCAAGAAUAAGCCCCGGCUAACUUCGUGCCAGCAGCCGCGGUAAUACGAAGGGGGCUAGCGUUGCUCGGAAUCACUGGGCGUAAAGGGUGCGUAGGCGGGUCUUUAAGUCAGGGGUGAAAUCCUGGAGCUCAACUCCAGAACUGCCUUUGAUACUGAAGAUCUUGAGUUCGGGAGAGGUGAGUGGAACUGCGAGUGUAGAGGUGAAAUUCGUAGAUAUUCGCAAGAACACCAGUGGCGAAGGCGGCUCACUGGCCCGAUACUGACGCUGAGGCACGAAAGCGUGGGGAGCAAACAGGAUUAGAUACCCUGGGAGUCCACGCCGUAAACGAUGAAUGCGAUCCGUUAGUGGGUUUACUCGCUACUGGCGCAGCUAACGCUUUAUGCAUUCCGCCUGGCGAGUACGGUCGUAGCAUUAAUACUCAAAGGAAUUGACGGGGGUCCGCACUAACGGUGGAUCAUGUGGGUUAAUUCUACUCAACGCGCAGAGCCUUAUCUGGCCUUGACUUCCCGGUCUCGCACUCCACACAAAAAAUUCUUCUCUUCGGCUGGAACUGAGACAGGUGCUGCAUGGCUGUCGUCGUCUCCUGUCAUGAGAUGUUGGGU